rnacentral:misc_RNA from 1 species
UCCGAGUUGACCCCGGCAGUCUCCUAUGAGUCCCCACCAUAACGUGCUGGCAACAUAGGACGAGGGUUGCGCUCGUUGCGGGACUUAACCCAACACCUCACGGCACGAGCUGACGGCAGCCAUGCAGCACCUCUACUGGCUCCCUUUCGGGUCGUCCCCCUUUCAGGGUUCUACCACCAGCAGUUCAAGCCUAGGUAAGGUUCUUCGCGUUGCAUCGAAUUAAACCACAUGCUCCACCGCUUGUGCGGGCCCCCGUCAAUUCCUUUGAGUUUUAGCCUUGCGGCCGUACUCCCCAGGCGGAGUGCUUAAUGCGUUAGCUGCGGCACAGAGCGGGUUGAAGACCUCCCCACACCUAGCACUCAACGUUUACGGCUGGGACUAC